rnacentral:snRNA from 1 species
GCGGGUCGAUCCGGGCGGA